CACCAGGGCAUAAGCGUCUGCUCUGAGCUAGAUUGGAAAUGCUGCUGUCGCCGGAAAGAUGAUGAUAUUGAAUCGAAUAGACAUAGUCUAGCAAGAGAGGAAACAGUAGCAAGACUUCCAUCUAUACUAAAAAAACCUAGGGACGACUACUCGUAUCCAUCAACAUGGCGCCAAAAUUAUGAUUGGGAGAAAAAUACUUAUCAUCCUGCAAAUUACAGCGGAUAUCAG